rnacentral:rRNA from 1 species
UACAGAGGGUGCAAGCGUUAAUCGGAUUUACUGGGCGUAAAGCGUGUGUAGGUGGCUCGCUAAGUCGGUUGUGAAAUCCCCGGGCUUAACCUGGGAAUUGCGCUUGAAACUAGGCUGCUUGAGUGUGGCAGAGGGGGGUGGAAUUCCACGUGUAGCAGUGAAAUGCGUAGAGAUGUGGAGGAACACCGAUGGCGAAGGCAGCCCCCUGGGUCAACACUGACGCUCAUGCACGAAAGCGUGGGGAGCAAACAGG